rnacentral:lncRNA from 1 species
CUGAAAGAAGAAAAUUAAGAAUUCACUUUCUCUGUUCUUUCAUGCUGAUGAAACUCAAUAAAAUGAACACUCAUUUAAGCAAAACACAAAAUAACAAGUAAUUUUUUGGAAGUUCAAAUGUAUUCAAAAUUUAAAAUCCUUUCUUCUGCUUUUUUCCUUUUGCAGUAUUUGCCAUCUCUCUUAGAAAUCCAAAAAGAACAUAUUGGUUAUCAGGAAAUGGAUGAAUCAGUACCCUCCAGAGGCAGAGCUCAGUUGGGGAAAAAUUUCAAGAUAUGGAGAACAGAUAUCAAUGAACAUAAACAAUACUGCUGUGAGAAGAGAGAGCUGGGACUACUCAAGGCUCACAUGAAUUCCUACAUUUUGGACCUGAAAUAAAAUUUGAGGAUGAAAAAUGGAUGCUUUACUUCACAAAUCGAAAUGGAGGAUGCCAAGAGGAGAGGAGCCUUGUGUCAGAGCUCAGCAGACAGUUUCUGACCCUCCCUGAUCCACGAG